rnacentral:rRNA from 1 species
GUCGAGCGGUAAGGCCCUUCGGGGUACACGAGCGGCGAACGGGUGAGUAACACGUGGGUGAUCUGCCCUGCACUUCGGGAUAAGCCUGGGAAACUGGGUCUAAUACCGGAUAUGACCUUCGGCUGCAUGGCUGAGGGUGGAAAGGUUUACUGGUGCAGGAUGGGCCCGCGGCCUAUCAGCUUGUUGGUGGGGUAAUGGCCUACCAAGGCGACGACGGGUAGCCGACCUGAGAGGGUGACCGGCCACACUGGGACUGAGACACGGCCCAGACUCCUACGGGAGGCAGCAGUGGGGAAUAUUGCACAAUGGGCGAAAGCCUGAUGCAGCGACGCCGCGUGAGGGAUGACGGCCUUCGGGUUGUAAACCUCUUUCAGCAGGGACGAAGCGAAAGUGACGGUACCUGCAGAAGAAGCACCGGCUAACUACGUGCCAGCAGCCGCGGUAAUACGUAGGGUGCAAGCGUUGUCCGGAAUUACUGGGCGUAAAGAGCUCGUAGGCGGUUUGUCGCGUCGUCUGUGAAAACUCACAGCUCAACUGUGAGCCUGCAGGCGAUACGGGCAGACUUGAGUACUGCAGGGGAGACUGGAAUUCCUGGUGUAGCGGUGAAAUGCGCAGAUAUCACGAGGAACACCGGUGGCG